rnacentral:lncRNA from 1 species
GUCACUUCCUGAAUGGUGAUGUCAUUCAGGAAGUGGCUUUUCUUUUACUAACAAGAGGGAUUUUACUAACAAGAUGGAAAGUGAAUUGGGGACAGUAACAGCCAAUUAAAUGACCACCAUCAAACAGAUAACAGAAAAUAGCUUGGAAAAUUUUGAUUAGUGAAAGGGGGGGGGGGGAACAUCCUUCAUAGUAAAUUUAUGGUUUUUCAUUGUAGCAAUCAGCGCACCUUGAGGACAUGACAGAAAUGACAACGUCCACUCAAAACAAAUCUGGAAGAGUGUCUUUCUAAUGAAACCAAUGACAGGCAAGACUAAGAAGUAGUGGCGUGGAUACGGCAGCCUAUAAAACCCCAUGCAUAUGGAUGCCUCAUCGCCAUAUGGACGCAAAGACAAGGACAUCAUCAAGAGUCAGGAAGGUCUCUGCUCUGCUAGCUGCUAAGCAAGUGUGCCACAAAGACAUGAAAAGAUUCUGGCCAUAGAUGUGGAGGGAUGGAGAAGUCUAUGGACUGCGGUAGAUGGAGCUGUAGGCGGCUGCUCUACAUCCUGUGGUUUCCAUCUGUCUGCACACUGCUGUCCACUGCCUGACUGGACUACAGCCUGGUCACUUCACAACACCUGAACAAACCACUGCAGAAUCAACUAGUCUGACUCAGAAGUCAUAUGGGGGCUGUUGCGCUUCACACUACAUGAUUGAUACAGCAGAG